rnacentral:rRNA from 1 species
UUCCGGUUGAUCCUGCCGGACCUGACUGCUAUCGGAUUGAUACUAAGCCAUGCGAGUCAUUGUAGUAAUACAAGGCAGACGGCUCAGUAACGCGUAGUCAACCUACCCUAUGGACGGGGAUAACCUCGGGAAACUGAGAAUAAUACCCGAUAGAACAUUAUACCUGGAAUGGUUUAUGUUUCAAAUAAUUUAUUGCCGUAGGAUGGGACUGCGGCCUAUCAGUUUGUUGGUGAGGUAAUGGCCCACCAAGACUAUUACAGGUACGGGCUCUGAGAGGAGUAGCCCGGAGAUGGGUACUGAGACACGGACCCAGGCCCUAUGGGGCGCAGCAGGCGAGAAAACUUUGCAAUGUGCGAAAGCACGACAAGGUUAAUCCGAGUGGUUUCUGCUAAAGGAACCUUUUGUCAGUCCUAGAAACACUGGUGAAUAAGGGGUGGGCAAGUUCUGGUGUCAGCCGCCGCGGUAAAACCAGCACCUCAAGUGGUCAGGAUGAUUAUUGGGCCUAAAGCAUCCGUAGCCUGCUUUGUUAGUUUUCGGUUAAAUCCAUACGCUUAACGUAUGGGCUGCCGGGAAUACUGCAAAGCUAGGGAGUGGGAGAGGUAGACGGUACUCGGUAGGAAGGGGUAAAAUCCUUUGAUCUAUUGAUGACCACCUGUGGCGAAGGCGGUCUACCAGAACACGUCCGACGGUGAGGGAUGAAGCUGGGGGAGCAAACCGGAUUAGAUACCCGGGUAGUCCCAGCUGUAAACUAUGCAAACUCGGUGAUGCAUUGGCUUGAUGCCAAUGCAGUGCCGCAGGGAAGCCGUUAAGUUUGCCGCCUGGGAAGUACGUACGCAAGUAUGAAACUUAAAGGAAUUGGCGGGGGAGCACCACAAAGGGUGAAGCCUGCGGUUCAAUUGGAUUCAACGCCGGGA